GAUGACGAACGCAGCGAAAUGCGAUAAGUAGUGUGAAUUGCAGAAUUCAGUGAAUCAUCGAAUCUUUGAACGCACAUUGCGCCCGCCAGUAUUCUGGCGGGCAUGCCUGUCCGAGCGUCAUUUCAACCAUCAAGCCCCCGGGCUUGUGUUGGGGACCUGCGGCUGCCCGCAGGCCCUGAAAACCAGUGGCGGGCUCGCUGUCACACCGAGCGUAGUAGCAAUCACCUCGCUCAGGGCGUGCUGCGGGUUCCGGCCGUUAAACAGCCUUACAAAACCCAAGGUUGACCUCGGAUCAGGUAGGAAGACCCGCUGAACUUAAGCAUAUCAAUAAGCGGAGGA
rnacentral:misc_RNA from 1 species